AACGAACGCUGGCGGCAGGCCUAACACAUGCAAGUCGAACGCACCGCAAGGUGAGUGGCGCACGGGUGAGUAACACGUGGGAAUGUACCCUUUGGUUUGGAAUAACGCUUGGAAACGAACGCUAAUACCGGAUGAGCCCCACGGGGGAAAGAUUUAUCGCCAAAGGAGCAGCCCGCGUCUGAUUAGCUAGUUGGUGGGGUAAAGGCCUACCAAGGCGACGAUCAGUAGCUGGUCUGAGAGGAUGAUCAGCCACACUGGGACUGAGACACGGCCCAGACUCCUACGGGAGGCAGCAGUGGGGAAUAUUGGACAAUGGGCGGAAGCCUGAUCCAGCCAUGCCGCGUGAGUGAUGAAGGCCUUCGGGUUGUAAAGCUCUUUCGCACACGACGAUGAUGACGGUAGUGUGAGAAGAAGCCCCGGCUAACUUCGUGCCAGCCGCCGCCGUAAAAC
rnacentral:rRNA from 1 species